GACGAACGCUGGCGGCGUGCUUAACACAUGCAAGUCGAGCGGUAACAGGUGUAGCAAUACAUGCUGACGAGCGGCGGACGGGUGAGUAACGCUUGGGAAUCUGCCUGUUAGUGGGGGACAACCCGGGGAAACUCGGGCUAAUACCGCAUACGCACUACGGUGGAAAGACCGGGGACCGCAAGGCCUGGCGCUAACAGAUGAGCCCAA
rnacentral:rRNA from 1 species